CAUACAUAUUAGACAGAACAGCUAAAAGUUACUAACAGAAUACAAGGAAAAAAGAGCCUUGCGAAAAAAAAUACACAGUGGAGUGAGUAUUUUUAUAGGCUGCAGGUUGCAUGACCAGCUGCUUCCUCAGCCUAGUCUUUUCCUCAAAGAGGCACAAUCAAAUAAUAACUUAUUUAUAUAAGUAGCAUAUUCAAACUUCAUAGAGGCAACAAUUUGAGGGGGAAGCUUAAAAGUUGAUAGUUCCAGGAAGGUGAUAUAUUGAUACUUUACUACGUUUUCCUACUCCACAAAGUUGGGAAUAAAGCUUAUACUCCAGUAAUUUCUGUAACAGUUUUAUCAACAACAACAACACAGUAUAAUCCCACUUAGUGGGGUCUGGGGAGGAUAGUAUGUACGCAGACCUUACCCCUACCC
rnacentral:lncRNA from 1 species